rnacentral:rRNA from 1 species
CCUACGGGUGGCAGCAGUGGGGAAUAUUGGGCAAUGGGCGCAAGCCUGACCCAGCAACGCCGCGUGAAGGUAGAUGGCUUUCGGGUGGUAAACUUCUUUUGACAGGGAGGAGCAGAGGACAGUACCUGUCGAAUAAGCCACGGCUAACUACGUGCCAGCAGCCGCGGUAAUACGUAGGUGGCAGUCGUUGUCCGGAUUUACUGGGUGUACGGGGCGUGUAGCCGGGCUGACAAGUCAGAUGUGAAUGCCGGGGGUUCAUCGCCCGAACUGCAUUUGAAACUGUUGGUCUUGAGUAUCGGAGAGGUAGGCGGAAUGCCUAGUGUAGCGGUGAAAUGCGUAGAUAUUAGGAGGAACACCAGUGGCGAAGGCGGCCUGCUGGACGACAAUUGACGGUGAGGCGCGAAAGCGUGGGGAGCAAACAGGAUUAGAUACCCGAGUAGUC